GAUGUAAAAUUUGCUUAAUUUUCUCACGUUUACACCAGCUUAACAUGCAGUUGCCAUGGACACAGUGUAUGUGUGGAGUGUGUGUGCGCUCUUUUUCCCUCUGCUCAGGGCGUCACUGGCAGGUGUUUCCUCACAGGUGUGGCUGAUCAACAGGGCUUAAAAAGGAGCUGGAACCUGGAGGGAGGCGUCAGCUCGUUUUCUUCACCAGUGUGGUUCCUGUUCCACGUCCUGUCCAAGCGAGAAUCGGACACUGAAUCAAACCGAUCCCGCCGUGAGUCUCCCUACCAUUCCUGCCUCCAGCCUCGCAGCUCUGAGAACGGCUCUCGGAAGAGACCUAACUCUUGUUCACCUGCCUGUCCACCCUUCGGCGUUAUACGCCCCAACAAAGACGCUCAAGCUCAAGGACCCAAUCAUAGGGAAGAAACAUCAACAGCACCGGAUCUCACACUCUCUGCUUGCCUUCGUCACUGUGGACGGACUAACCCCUCCAACAGACUCUCCACACCACCUGACACGAAGAUCCUGAUUCCUUGCCCUACCAGUCAGAGUUACAGUCCUGCCAGAUUCCUCUAUCUAAAUAAACCUUUUUAAAUGCUG